AUUAGGCUCGGCUUCGUCUAUAAAUACAGCUCUCAUCCUCUUUCUUCCCUCUCUAUCUCCUUUCAAAAACUCAGCAGAUGGAUGAUGCUCAAUCUAGGUUAAAUUAGGGUUUCGAAUCAGUGUAUUGCAGUCUAAGCAAAGAUCAAAGUUCAUUGAAGGACAACGAAUGGUCUGGGGUUUUCUGUGGAAUUUUGAAAGAAAAGAGAAAGGAACAAUCUUGGAUUGAGGAGGAAGCUAAAGAUGCUCCUUCAUGCAGUCCUGCACUUCAGCCAAUUCCUUCCCCUUUUUUUUUUCAUGUCAAGAAAUUUUGGGAUACUAGUUGCUGAAGGAAGAAGCUAAAGACCUUGCCACCAGAGGCUUGGGAGAAAUGUUGCUGAUGAAAAAUAAAGAUCAUCCUGGGUUUCAAGGUGUCCAAUGGAACAAGCUCUAUCAUGAGGCUGCAUUAUCCUUAAGUGAAGGAUGAACUGGAUCCUCAAAAUUUCAAGAAGUUUGGGGAGGUAAAAUACCAAUAAAUUGGUUUACUUUCUAACAGAAUAUGUGUAUCUUGCAGUUUGACAAUCGUGCUUAAACUUCUUCAAUACAAGACCCUUGAAGAAAGGGGAACAGUUCCUCUAAAAUUUGAUGGUUUUGUGAAUCCAACCUGUUAUACAUCUUGAACAAGAAACUUUUCAAAUCUGAAUGAAGCCCAAGGGUAUAAUGACAGUGGCGGGUCCUACAAACUGACGGACAAGUGCACUCACAACAGUAACGGCUGGCAACACUUGCAAAAGAACAGAAGAACACUGGUCCACUCCACUAUUGACACACCUGAGAAUAUUGCUCCUGAGGUUCUAUUGAAGAAGGGUGAGGAUUCCUAUUCAGUACCGUGAUUCAUACAGAUGCUGUUUGGAGAUCACAUUUGAAUUUCCUUAAAGAAGCUAUGUUAACUACAGAAGUUAAAGUUCUUAUCAGUCAAACGUCUAUUCAAUACUGACAGAGGCUUGGCUUAAAUGGUCUGAUGAAAUAAAGGAUCACCCUUGGCUUGAAGGUGUCCAAUGGGACAAAUUAUAUCAAAUGGAGUCUGCAUUUAUACCUGCAGUGAAAGAUGAAUUGGAUACUCAAGACUUGUAAAGUUUGAGGAGUCUGAUAAUCAUGUUCAAACUCUGUCGACAUAAGAUGUUUUCCUCGAGGAUCGAAUUUUUGUGGUCUAUACAUGUAAGAACUUCAAAAAUGUUAUUGAUCCUGAAGUGCCUUUUUUGGUAAAUAUUACUUGUUAAGGAUCCUGAAGUGCCUGCGAUGGUAAAUAUUCUGUCGAUAAGAACCUCACUUUGUUGUGUUGAUAUAUACUCGCUGCCUUCCUUUUA